GGGUUGUGAGGUUAAGCGACUAAGCGUACACGGUGGAUGCCCUGGCAGUCAGAGGCGAUGAAGGGCGUGCUAAUCUGCGAUAAGCGCCGGUAAGGUGAUAUGAACCGUUAUAACCGGCGAUACCCGAAUGGGGAAACCCAGUGUGAUUCGUCACACUAUCAUUAACUGAAUCCAUAGGUUAAUGAGGCGAACCGGGGGAACUGAAACAUCUAAGUACCCCGAGGAAAAGAAAUCAACCGAGAUUCCCCCAGUAGCGGCGAGCGAACGGGGAGGAGCCCAGAGCCUGAAUCAGCAUGUGUGUUAGUGGAAGCGUCUGGAAAGGCGCGCGAUACAGGGUGACAGCCCCGUACACAAAAGCGCAUGUGCUGUGAGCUCGAUGAGUAGGGCGGGACACGUGGUAUCCUGUCUGAAUAUGGGGGGACCAUCCUCCAAGGCUAAAUACUCCUGACUGACCGAUAGUGAACCAGUACCGUGAGGGAAAGGCGAAAAGAACCCCGGCGAGGGGAGUGAAAAAGAACCUGAAACCGUGUACGUACAAGCAGUGGGAGCACAGGUUUACCUGUGUGACUGCGUACCUUUUGUAUAAUGGGUCAGCGACUUAUAUUCUGUAGCAAGGUUAACCGAAUAGGGGAGCCGGAGGGAAACCGAGUCUUAAUUGGGCGUUAAGUUGCAGGGUAUAGACCCGAAACCCGGUGAUCUAGCCAUGGGCAGGUUGAAGGUUGGGUAACACUAACUGGAGGACCGAACCGACUAAUGUUGAAAAAUUAGCGGAUGACCUGUGGCUGGGGGUGAAAGGCCAAUCAAACCGGGAGAUAGCUGGUUCUCCCCGAAAGCUAUUUAGGUAGCGCCUCGUGAAUUCAUCUCCGGGGUAGAGCACUGUUUCGGCUCGGGGGCCAUCCCGGCUUACCAACCCGAUGCAAACUGCGAAUACCGGAGAAUGUUAUCACGGGAGACACACGGCGGGUGCUAACGUCCGUCGUGAAGAGGGAAACAACCCAGACCGCCAGCUAAGGUCCCAAAGUCAUGGUUAAGUGGGAAACGAUGUGGGAAGGCCCAGACAGCCAGGAUGUUGGCUUAGAAGCAGCCAUCAUUUAAAGAAAGCGUAAUAGCUCACUGGUCGAGUCGGCCUGCGCGGAAGAUGUAACGGGGCUAAACCAUGCACCGAAGCUGCGGCAGCGAACGUAUCACCCAAGACAACUUUACGGAGUUGACGAUUGACGGAGCGAAGCGACGUCAAAGCGUUCAUUAAAGUCGAGUUGGCUUAGGGAUACGUUCGUUGGGGGGGAGCGUUCUGUAAGCCUGUGAAGGUGUGUCGUGAGGCAUGCUGGAGGUAUCAGAAGUGCGAAUGCUGACAUAAGUAACGAUAAAGCGGGUGAAAAGCCCGCUCGCCGGAAGACCAAGGGUUCCUGUCAACGUUAAUCGGGGCAGGGUGAGUCGACCCGUAAGGCGCGGCCGAAAGGCGUAGUCGAUGGGAAACGGGUUAAUAUUCCCGUACUUGGUGUUACUGCGAAGGGGGACGGAGAAGGCUAUGUUGGCCGGGCGACGGUUGUCCCGGUUUAAGCGUGUAGGUGUGUGUUCGGGUAAAUCCGGUUCACUUUAACACUGAGGCGUGACGUCGAGGCACUACGGUGCUGAAGCAACAAAUGCCCUGCUUCGAGGAAAAGCCUCUAAGCAUCAGGUAACACGAAAUCGUACCCCAAACCGACACAGGUGGUCAGGUAGAGAAUACCAAGGCGCUUGAGAGAACUCGGGUGAAGGAACUAGGCAAAAUGGUGCCGUAACUUCGGGAGAAGGCACGCUGACACGUAGGUGAAGUGAUUUACUCAUGGAGCUGAAGUCAGUCGAAGAUACCAGCUGGCUGCAACUGUUUAUUAAAACACAGCACUGUGCAAACACGAAAGUGGACGUAUACGGUGUGACGCCUGCCCGGUGCCGGAAGGUUAAUUGAUGGGGUCAGCGUAAGCGAAGCUCCUGAUCGAAGCCCCGGUAAACGGCGGCCGUAACUAUAACGGUCCUAAGGUAGCGAAAUUCCUUGUCGGGUAAGUUCCGACCUGCACGAAUGGCGUAAUGAUGGCCAGGCUGUCUCCACCCGAGACUCAGUGAAAUUGAACUCGCUGUGAAGAUGCAGUGUACCCGCGGCAAGACGGAAAGACCCCGUGAACCUUUACUAUAGCUUGACACUGAACAUUGAGCCUUGAUGUGUAGGAUGGUGGGAGGCUUUGAAGUGUGGACGCCAGUCUGCAUGGAGCCGACCUUGAAAUACCACCCUUUAAUGUUUGAUGUUCUAACGUGGACCCGUAAUCCGGGUUGCGGACAGUGUCUGGUGGGUAGUUUGACUGGGGCGGUCUCCUCCUAAAGAGUAACGGAGGAGCACGAAGGUUGGCUAAUCUGGUCGGACAUCAGGAGGUUAGUGCAAUGGCAUAAGCCAGCUUGACUGCGAGCGUGACGGCGCGAGCAGGUGCGAAAGCAGGUCAUAGUGAUCCGGUGGUUCUGAAUGGAAGGGCCAUCGCUCAACGGAUAAAAAGGUACUCCGGGGAUAACAGGCUGAUACCGCCCAAGAGUUCAUAUCGACGGCGGUGUUUGGCACCUCGAUGUCGGCUCAUCACAUCCUGGGGCUGAAGUAGGUCCCAAGGGUAUGGCUGUUCGCCAUUUAAAGUGGUACGCGAGCUGGGUUUAGAACGUCGUGAGACAGUUCGGUCCCCUAUCUGCCGUGGGCGCUGGAGAACUGAGGGGGCUGCUCCUAGUACGAGAGGACCGGGUGGACGCAUCACUGGUGUUCGGGUUGUCAUGCCAAUGGCACUGCCCGGUAGCUAAAUGCGGAAGAGAUAAGUGCUGAAAGCAUCUAAGCACGAAACUUGCCCCGAGAUGAGUUCUCCCUGAGACUUAGAGUCUCCUGAAGGAACGUUGAAGACGACGACGUUGAUAGGCCGGGUGUGUAAGCGCAGCGAUGCGUUGAGCUAACCGGUACUAAUGAACCGUGAGGCUUAACCUUACAACGCCGAAG
rnacentral:rRNA from 1 species